CCUCGAAGACCAUGGAGUCCUGGAUGGCGAGGAGGUCAACGUAACUAAGGUCAUGGAACUUCUGCGAACAAAGAUUGAUGCAGCAGAGGAUUCAGUAGCAAAAGAGGCCUUAUCUACAGCCCUUUCCAACUUGUCUGAGGAACCCCUAGAAGCUGACCUAUUACAUUUCAUGGAGCUCAAGAAGUCUCUUAUGAACUCCUGCCUUAUGAACGUGGUUGCAAGCCUAACCGAAGAGAAACUAUUAGCGAAGUGUUCAAAUUCAUAAGUGUCUAAGGAAGCAUUGACUUUGCGAAUAUGGAUCCCUGGCUUUUGACUUGAUAUCCUCUACGAAUGAUACCCUCAUAAGGCAACACAGCAAACCUAUAAACAUUGUAGUCAAUAGAUGCAACAUCUUGACCCAUUUUCCUCCCAAAAUAAAGACUGCAGCAUA